rnacentral:rRNA from 1 species
ACGUUAGCGGCGGACGGGUGAGUAACACGUGGGUAACCUACCUAUAAGACUGGGAUAACUUCGGGAAACCGGAGCUAAUACCGGAUAAUAUUUCGAACCGCAUGGUUCGAUAGUGAAAGAUGGUUUUGCUAUCACUUAUAGAUGGACCCGCGCCGUAUUAGCUAGUUGGUAAGGUAACGGCUUACCAAGGCGACGAUACGUAGCCGACCUGAGAGGGUGAUCGGCCACACUGGAACUGAGACACGGUCCAGACUCCUACCGGGAGGCAGCAGCA